AUUGAACGCUGGCGGCAGGCCUAACACAUGCAAGUCGAACGGUAACAGGAAGAAGCUUGCUUCUUUGCUGACGAGUGGCGGACGGGUGAGUAAUGUCUGGGAAACUGCCUGAUGGAGGGGGAUAACUACUGGAAACGGUAGCUAAUACCGCAUAACGUCGCAAGACCAAAGAGGGGGACCUUCGGGCCUCUUGCCAUCGGAUGUGCCCAGAUGGGAUUAGCUAGUAGGUGGGGUAACGGCUCACCUAGGCGACGAUCCCUAGCUGGUCUGAGAGGAUGACCAGCCACACUGGAACUGAGACACGGUCCAGACUCCUACGGGAGGCAGCAGUGGGGAAUAUUGCACAAUGGGCGCAAGCCUGAUGCAGCCAUGCCGCGUGUAUGAAGAAGGCCUUCGGGUUGUAAAGUACUUUCAGCGGGGAGGAAGGGAGUAAAGUUAAUACCUUUGCUCAUUGACGUUACCCGCAGAAGAAGCACCGGCUAACUCCGUGCCAGCAGCCGCGGUAAUACGGAGGGUGCAAGCGUUAAUCGGAAUUACUGGGCGUAAAGCGCACGCAGGCGGUUUGUUAAGUCAGAUGUGAAAUCCCCGGGCUCAACCUGGGAACUGCAUCUGAUACUGGCAAGCUUGAGUCUCGUAGAGGGGGGUAGAAUUCCAGGUGUAGCGGUGAAAUGCGUAGAGAUCUGGAGGAAUACCGGUGGCGAAGGCGGCCCCCUGGACGAAGACUGACG
rnacentral:rRNA from 2 species